CAACUCGGGCCUGCCAGCGAUGAAAAUUAAUGGGAAGGUAAGAAGCUGCUUUUGAUGCUGGAAGAACUCCAGUAAAAACUGGUCUGUACAUGGGAACACGGUGUCAGACUCACAGAGAAUCAGCUUGUCUGACUUGUGGUUUUCUUGACAACAUUCAUCUUCUCUUGGCCUGAUACAGGGCAAUUAGUGCUUGUCAGCUGAAUCAUGUGUUAUUAAGAUCAUUCAGGCAUUUUUUAAUUACGGUGAGC
rnacentral:lncRNA from 1 species